rnacentral:lncRNA from 1 species
UUUUCAUUUUUUAAAAUUCCUGAUCAUGAAAAAAGCAAUACAAGAGUGAUUUUUAAAAUAAUCACUUUGCAUUCUUGUCAGAGCAAUGGAUUGCAAAGCGACAGUGACCUGACAUUGCCUCCAAAUGUUCCAGCCUCUGCCCUCCUUAGCGCCUGAUCUAUCUCUGGUUGAGGCGGACUCUGCUAUUUGUCCAACAUGGGGCAAUGCUGGCUAUUUCUCUGUAGGAAUCCAAGCGCUUAUUAGGAGAAGGUGGAGGGGUGUGGUGGGAAGAGCUCCAGACAAGAUGGGAGAGCUUUGGGGUAAAUCCUUUCUGAAGAUUAGAAAGCAAGUCUCCCUCAUGUUGCAAACCCCACAGUGAUUUUACGGCAGCUUGGAAGAGAGGAUUCCAGAGACAAAUUGCUUUUGAGAGGGUGGACGCUGGGCCAUAGGUUUAUCACUGGGCAGGCAGGGUAGAGUGAACGGCGUUAACAUUACAAACAUUCCAUCUUCACUGAUUUAAAGACAAGGAGUUCUGUUUACUUUCACCCUAAACAAAGAGGCUCCUUCUUGCUCGGUGGGAAGGAGCCAUCCCUGAGUUGCUAAAUAUCACAUAAAUCUCAUGACGUGACAGAAACCCAGGCCUCCUGGAGCUCAUCACCAACUUUUUGCAACCAAGACUCCCA